rnacentral:pre_miRNA from 1 species
CGGGGGAGGCCGGAUCCUGGGCUGUGUCCCGGCGCCCUGUGCUCCGGGGCCUGCGCUGUUGGAUUCGCGCUCCCGCCCCCGAGCCCCCCCAG